UACGUAGGGUGCGAGCGUUAAUCGGAAUUACUGGGCGUAAAGCGUGCGCAGGCGGUUUUGUAAGGCAGAGGUGAAAUCCCCGGGCUCAACCUGGGAACUGCCUUUGUGACUGCAAGGCUUGAGUGCGGCAGAGGGGGAUGGAAUUCCGCGUGUAGCAGUGAAAUGCGUAGAUAUGCGGAGGAACACCGAUGGCGAAGGCAAUCCCCUGGGCCUGCACUGACGCUCAUGCACGAAAGCGUGGGGAGCAAACAGG
rnacentral:rRNA from 1 species